rnacentral:lncRNA from 1 species
UGGUGUAUUACUUGAUCAAUGACACUUAUCCUGCCAAAAUGUCAACUUAUAUAAAUAAAUUGAUUCUCUGGUUUUCGUGUCCUUCUCUUAUAGGUUUUUCCAGUCCAAAUAAUUUUCCCAGAGUGUGAUCACACUUGGAGUGAACUGAUAGAAUUGACUUUGGCAAACCACACAACUAAACACCUGGCCUGUGUUAAUCUCACACAGGGCUGCACUUCAUUCAGUGACGAAAGGAAGACGUGAUGAGAUGGGACAACCAGGUUUUGAGAGAAUGCUUGACUUGGCAUAAGACCAAUUUUAUUAGCCAAGAAUGACAAGACACAUUGAACAGAGGUGUCAGACUUGUGAGAAGUAUAUAAAAUAGGAUUCCAAAGCAGAGAGGGCAGUUGAACGAAUGAAGAAAGUGACCUCUGCUCUGAAGUCAGCUUGUGCACUUAGUUUCUGUCCCUGGAAUCAGACACAGUGAGAAUCAGAAACAUUUCCUUAAUACAGCAAAGUAAUCACAACAUGAUGCCCAAGAAAGAGACUGGCACCACAUGGAACAUUCUAUAAGUGUGAGGCCAUCUUGACCCAGCCUCCUUUGCUUUGGAAUUUCUAAACAUGUCAGGAAAUUUGUUGAUCUACCCCCUCCAAGUGUUUGGAUCUCGGAAGGCAGACCAGUCUUAUUCCUACUGACACUCUCCAAGCACCUCCUCCCAACUUCAGGACCAGCUUUUAUAGCACUGUGGUGUAAUUUUUAAGAGCACAAAAUGGAGAUAAAUCAAAGUGGUCCAAUACCAACACCAUGAAUUACAAGCUGUGUAAUCUUGAGUAAAUUACUUAACCUCUCUGAGCUUCAGUUUUCUUAUCUGUACAAAAGAUUGCUGUAAGGAUGAAUGAGUUCAUAUAUGUAAACUACUUGGAAUACAAAAUAUGUAUGUUUUAACUGUUAUAAUCCCCUCACUGUAGGACAUGCACUUGUACCAUAUAUUCUUCCUCUUUUCUGGCCUAUGAUUUAGAGUGAAAACAAUGUGGUCAGGCCUUCAAGCUUUGUUCCCUAAUGUUUAAAAAGAAGCUUUUGGGAUUUAGAACAUUCUUUUCUAUCUCAAAGACUGAGUAGUUACAUUCAAAAGCCCAGAUUUCAGGGCUAUUGUUCCUGAGAUGGACUUCAAGUGCCUAUUUUGGAAGUCUAGAAAUGAACAUAGAUUUUUAGCUUCUGCGUGCAUCCCAGCUAUAAAGAUACUAAACUUCUCUGAGGCAAUAGGCACUGCUGGCUAAAAAGAGAAAGAUCAUGAGCAAAGAUGAAAAAAGGGGCAGUAAUUAAAGUAAUAAUAUAUUUCAAAAUGCUACACAAAUAAUAAUGAAGGAGAACAAACAUUUAAAAUUUCCUUUAAAAGUGCCAGGUGUCAGGCCAUGAAAUAUAUAUAAACUUCAUCUUUGCAACCACCUAUUAUAUGCAUAGUUUUAUUUUACUGGUGAGUAAACGAAGGUUUGUAGAGUUUUGUUACUGCUCAAACAAUACAGUGUGAUAAGGGGUAGGCUAUGAUUUGAGCUGACGUUUUGCUUCCAAGGACACGGUCUUUCCACUCGUUGUUCCUGGUACCCCACCCCCUGCUCUCUAAAAUUUAAUUCUCUGAAAGAAAAGCAUCUGACUGGAAAACAGCAUUUUCUAUCAAGAGAUUUCCAUCAUCAGCUGGGAAUGUAUCAAUUGUGGGGAGCAUCUUCCUGAACCUUCAAAGCCUUUUCUCUGUCAGAAGAGAAAUCUCAACCUCAUCAGAAUCUAGGGUACUGGUUCCAUCUGCAAGUUUGACAUCUCAAUGUGAUUAGAUAGAUCCUCCCAAAGGAUGGGUGCCUUCAUUCACUCAAGAAAUACCUUGCCUGUGGUGAUGGGACUUUUCCUCUGCUGGAUGGAAGACAUCUGUUCCCUGGUAAACCCAAUCUAAUCACAUGAGUCCUGAAGCCUGGAAGUGGAAGAGAGAGGAAGUGGGUCAGAGAGAGGACAGGAAAGAAGGCAGGAGAGAUGCGAAGCAUGGAAAGGAUUCUUUUAUUCCUGGCUGGAAGUUGGAGAAGGAGGGUAACAAACCCAGGAAUGUGGCUGACCUGUUGAAGUUGGGAAUGGCCCUUUGCAGACAGCCUGCAAGCAGACAGGAAUCUCAGUCCUACAAGUGCAAAAAGUGAAUUCUGCCAACAACUUGAAUUAGCAGGAAAUUGAUUCUCUCCUAAGGCCUCCAGAAAGCAAUGCAGCCCUGCCCACAGCUGGAGAUUGGCCUGGUAAGAUCCAUGUUGGACUUCUAACCUACAG